GAUGAACGCUGGCGGCGUGCCUAAUACAUGCAAGUCGAGCGAACGGACGAGAAGCUUGCUUUUCUGAUGUUAUCGGCGGACGGGUGAGUAACACGUGGAUAACCUACCUAUAAGACUGGGAUAACUUCGGGAAACCGGAGCUAAUACCGGAUAAUAUUUUGAACCGCAUGGUUCAAAAGUGAAAGACGGUCUUGCUGUCACUUAUAGAUGUAUCCGCGCUGCAUUAGCUAGUUGGUAAGGUAACGGCUUACCAAGGCACCGAUGCAUAGCCGACCUGAGAGAGUGAUCGGCCACACUGGAACUGAGACACGGUCCAGACUCCUACGGGAGGCAGCAGUAGGGAAUCUUACGCAAUGGGCGAAAGCCUGAAGGAGCAACGCCGCGUGAGUGAUGAAGGUCUUCGGAUAGUAAAACUCUGUUAUUAGGGAAGAACAUAUGUGUAAGUAACUGUGCACAUCUUGACGGUACAUAAUCAGAAAGCCACGGCUAACUACGUG
rnacentral:rRNA from 1 species